rnacentral:lncRNA from 1 species
GGGGCGCCGGGAGCGCGGUGAGGGGGGCCGCCGAGGCUGACCUGGGCUGAAAUUUAUAUAUUUAAAGAAGGAGCGGUUCGGUCCUGCCUUCCACUGCGGCGCUGAGAGCAGGAGCAGCAGCAGCUCCGGAGCAGAGAAGCGCACACGUGUGUGCGUGCGUGUGUGUGUGUGUGUGUGUGUGCGUGUGCGCGCGCUGGGGGCGAGCCCAGCGCGCCGCGGGGAGGAGGGUGCGCUUCGCAGGGCGCUCGGGACUCGGUCGGGUGCCGCAGGGGCCGCAGAGGCUGCUGAGGCGGCGCGGAUCCUGCUCUGGGAGCUGCGCGCCGUGGCCUACACCCUGGCGGGCGCGCGCUGACCCGCUUGGUUACUCCACGUUGCUGCCGCCGCCGCUUGCAAACGCUUCCAGCCUCCAGCUCCCUCCUUCUCCUGCUCCUCCUUCUCUUGCUCCAAACGCCAACCGAGCCACAGACGAUCAGCAGUCGCGGUUGCGUUCACCCCCUGCGGAUCACAACGGCAGCCCUUGCGACACCCUGGCUGGGGAGUUUUAUUCCUGACGGGGUUGCGCAGGGGCUCCCCUUGGACUCCCACCCUUUCCCAACCUCUGCUGGCUUCUCCCCAACGUGGAAUUGCUCGCUUAGGGUAGGUAGGCACUUGCCACCCUAAAAUAGACCCUCUCUGUCUCCUCCUGUCUGCAGCCGGGCAGCCCCUCAGUUUGUUCCUUGGAUGACUCCCUAGACCGUUAGGCUAAUAUUCUCCAUCCCCCUCCCCUGCCUCUUUCACUUGCGCUCUCGCUCUGCUCUUUCUCUCUUUCCCUUUCUAUCUCUAUCUCAAUCUCUCUCUCUCUUGUCAGGAGCUUCUGGAGCUCCGCUCGGAGCGAACCUUCUGCUGCCAGCAGAUAACAUCACGAUCUUGCCGGGGAGGAGAGAUUUAUAAGUUCUCUCUGAACCACGUGUCUGCCUUCAACAAAGUGACGUGCUAGGAUUACAGUCAGAAGUCCUCUCGUUACUUAGACCACGAGCUCUCCCCGAACCGUUGAGGGGGUGUGGAAAUGAGGACCUCUGUGGGGAAGGGAGGAAGGAGGUGGAAUGUGCUCCCUGACAACAGUGAUUUACUUACUCAAAGUCAACAUUUUCAUUUCGGCAUGACUCUGCA